rnacentral:rRNA from 1 species
CAGCAGCCGCGGGAAUACGAAGGGGGCUAGCGUUGUUCGGAAUUACUGGGCGUAAAGCGCACGCAGGCGGCUCGAUAAAUUAGAAGUGAAAGCCUUGGGCUUAACCUGAGAAUUGCUUUUAAGACUGUCGAGCUAGAAUCCAGAAGAGGGUAGUGGAAUUCCGAGUGUAGAGGUGAAAUUCGUAGAUAUUCGGAAGAACACCAGUGGCGAAGGCGACUACCUGGUCUGGCAUUGACGCUCAUGUGCGAAAGCGUGGGGAGCAAACAGGAUUAGAUACCCGAGUAGUCCCUGUCUCUUAUAC